GGCCUGGUAGCUCAGUUGGUAGAGCAGCGGACUGAAAAUCCGUGUGUCGGUGGUUCAAUUCCGCCCCGGGCCACCA
rnacentral:tRNA from 1 species